UACGAAGGAUCCAAGCGUUGUCCGGAUUUACUGGGUUUAAAGGGAGCGUAGGUGGACGAAUAAGUCAGUGGUGAAAGCCUGCAGCUUAACUGUAGAAUUGCCAUUGAAACUGCUCGUCUCGAAUAUGGUUGAGGUGGUUGGAAUGUAUCAUGUAGCGGUGAAAUGCUUAGAUAUGAUACAGAACACCGAUUGCGAAGGCAGAUCACUAAACCAUUAUUGACACUGAGGCUCGAAAGCGUGGGGAUCAAACAGG
rnacentral:rRNA from 1 species